rnacentral:lncRNA from 1 species
AUGAACAUGGUCACGCCAAAGGGUUUUGAGAGCGAAGUCACGGGUAGCAGCAGCACAUCUUCGGCAGACACCAAGACCGACAGCACCUCUCCCUUCGAGGCCUCGGUCAUAAACAAGUUUCUCUCAAAUAACAGCGUCACUCUGGAAUACAUGACCCGUGCACCCGUGGUCAGAGCCUAUCUGUGUCUCGACCCAACCUUCGGAGGCGGCUCCAGGUCCUGCGCCGGCGUGUGCUGUGCUGUGGAGCUGGCGGGCGGCAAUCUAGUGGUUAUGGCCCUGGAGGAACUGGAGAUACGGGAUUUGGAUCAAGUGACUCGAGUCUAUGCAGCUCUGCUGAGCGCUCACAUAAGGCUACUGAAACUUUUGAUGCCCAGAGUGAUGUGGAAAGAAGUGCCCGUGGUGAUAGUAUUUGAACAAAACACGUACGUCAACGCCCUGGUUGAUGUAAAAAAUCUCAUUGAGUUGUCACUCGUACGCUCGGGGUUCAAAGUGCUCUUCUAUAGCAAGUGGUCACCCAUCAACAACAAGUACAUGCUGGGUAAGCACGUGGGUGCCAGACCAAACUUGCUAUGGUUCUAAGCACGGUCUCGGCAAUCAACAGAGAAACCCUUUACUAUUGUGACACGGUCAUGUCUCUGGGAUGGGCGGUGUUGUCAGAGGCCACCAAGAAAACUCAACUUCUCGAAUCCUCCAUCGGCACCUCGAAGGGCGCGGGCUGUAGUAGCAAGAUGGGAUCCAAUAUGGAUGUAUUUAUGUAUCGGCGCUCACGAAACGGAGUCAAUUUGGCCACUGAUGUCACGGCCAGUGUACUGGAGAGGCGCGAUAUCAUAACGCUACCCGGGAACAGGCUCACUGACAAGGCACACGCCGAGCAAGGAAAACUGCUCCUGGGGAAGCUGAGAGAAGAAAUGUCUAUGGUCACUAUCACGGAGUCUGCAAAAGGAAGCACGGUGACUACAGGAGGGAAAAAAUCUGUACAGGGAGAGUACACCAGAGACGACAUGCUCUCUGCGUUCCUGCUUCUCUGUCACACCAGAGACGAAAUACAUAGCGGUGAAAGGUCUAUACGAAUAAGCGGCGAGGUAUACAACAACAAGUAAUGCUUGUGGUAUGUGUGUUUGACCUGAUAAUUAAAGACUACGACACUUUGCAUUUUGUUGUCAUGUUUGUUUUUAUUGUGAGCAUAUUGAAUAACAUAAACCACCUGUCACGUGGGAUAGUUCACUGGGACAUACAAAAGAAUUUUUCCGGAGUCCAGUAGACAAUUCAGUCUUUGUUGUCGCCGUCCUCUUCGUCAUCGCCGUUACAGGAAUCGUCUUCAAACACAACUCCUUUAGCCAGCCUGUCACCAUACAAGGGUGCUGGUCUGUACCAGACGCCUCCCCCGUAGCCGUCAUCCCAAAACUCAAGACCCACGGCUCGCAGGUAAGC